CACCUGUUCACCUGCUCAGAGCACAUGCUUCAAAAUGUUUGAGCGUCACUCCUUCUGACAUGCUGCUAAGAGGAGGGAAGACAACUCCUGUGUGGACUCAGAAGACGCAACUGGAAAGUUAUUAAAAACCACUGAACCGUUGACGGAAGUGACGCACUCUUCGCGCAUGCGUGGAACAACCACCAAACAUUUCGAAAAAUGGGAAGACUUCUCUACUCCAGAGUGAUGCAAAGUUUUGGAUUACCUGGUAGUCCAGGAGCCAAAGGUGGACCUGGAGUUAAAGGCGAGCCUGGUCCCAGAGGUCAUGCCGUCAUGUCCGGUGACCCUUGACCUUUGGGAAGCAAAGGAGAGAGAGGACCGAUGGGCGUUCCAGGUGUUCAAGGUCUGAGUGGAAACAAAGGAGACAAGGUAGUACUGCCCCUCUGUCACAAGGUGUCCCCCAGGGUUCGGUGCUUGGUCCACUUCUCUUCAUUGUACAUGCUCCCCCUCGGUAACAUCAUCCGCCGCCAUCACCUCCAAUUCCGCUGCUACGCAGAUGAUGUCCAGCUACAUCUCCACAAAAUCUCUCCACCCUGACCGACUGCCUCACUGAAAUCAAAUCAUGGCUGCACUCCAACUUCCUCAAACUCAACUGACAAAUCUGACAUGCUCAUCGUCGGCCCCAAAUCCCUCACCAAAACUGCUCACAACUCUACUCUGUCCCCAUCUACUCACAUCCGCAACCUCGGAGUCAUUCUGGACAAUAACCUCUCUUUUCAACACCGUGUCAACCACAUCACAAGAACUGCUUUCUUCCACCUCCAAAAUAUUGCCCGUCUCAGUCCAUCCUUCUCUGCCGCUGAAACCCUGAUCCAUGCCUUCAUCACCUCCAGACUUGACUACUGUAACGGCAUCCUCUACGACUCAUCUUGCAAAAUUCUCAAACUCCAAUACAUUCAAAACUCUGCCGCCCGCCUGCUCACCCACACCCGCUCCCGUGAGCACAUCACCCCAGUCCUCCAGAAACUCCACUGGCUCCCCAGUCCUCACCGGAUCCACUUUAAAUCCUCCUCCUCACCCACAAAGCCCUCCACAACCAGGCCCCCUGCUACCUCACCAACCUGCUUCACCUCCAUACCUUCACGCAGCCUCCGCUCCUCUGAUGCCAACCUGCUCUCCCCACCACUCAGAACCAAGCUUCGGACCUGGGGUGACAGGUUUCUCCAUCGCUGCUCCCACCCUCUGGAACACUCUUCCCAAACCCAUCCGUGACCAGUGUUGGGAUUUUCCUGAGGGGAAGUAACACAGACAUUCUACACAACAUUGUGUCAUGAGCUUUGACCAAUCAGCUGGGUGGCCAUAGAGUUGGGGACAAAACAAAACAAAAACAAAAAAAGUCCCGCCUUUUCGGUGAUCUACGUGGCCAUCACCGCCGGACCUCUGCGACUGUAUCCGUCCAAAUGUCUUAAUGAAGGUAAGCAUAUUCCAGUCUACUUGCACGUUGUAUCUUAAAGGGUGUAAUAGUGGUAGUUUUGCUGGGAAUGUGUGACUGUAACCUACUGACCAGAUGUAAAGUUGUGCAUGUGCAAAUGAACUGCUGAUGAACAGCUAGCCAUAUUGCUAGCUAUACUAAACCUCCAUUUUUUUUUUUUUAGGGCUCUUUCAAAUAGUAGCCUGGUUAUGCUGUGUACAUAAUGUUGGUUAAUGGCUAAAUUAAUUUUGGCUUUAUUUUGCAGGUUUGUUUCCACAAGUUAGCUAACAUUACUAAGUUUAUACACAUGUAGAAGAAUGGCUUCUCCCAGAUCUCUCACAACAGUCCUCCUGGAUGGCAGAGACAUUUUCAAGAAGACUUCCACUCCUGGUAAAGUCAAGGACAUUACAGAGAUUUCAACAGCAGCCAGUGAUCUUGAUCCUGACAGUGCGAAGACUCGCCUCCAACAAAAAGAUCCCAGGAUUUUUGCAUUCUACGAGGAGAAUGGGAGAGCGGCCGUGCCAGCAACUUGAGGGUUCCAGUUAUCCAGUAAGUGCGGACAAAAAAACUUCUCGCCAGAACCAUUGUGACACUUUACCUGUCACUUAACAUCAACAUGGAGGACAAAAAUAAGGAUAUGAACACUUCUAUGAUCCAACAUGCCACGCUGGCUUUCUGGAAGAUAAGCUGAGGAAUAUCCGCCGAAAACGAAGGGAUGAUCGGUGCCGUUAUUGCAGAAGGGGUGGCUCAUCUGAAGUCACUGUUGGACUUGAAGAAGUUACAGAAAGUGAUGAGUCUGUCCAAGAAUGGAUAACUGUGAUCAUAAGGAUGAAGCCCGGAGAACCUUUCUUCCAUCAAGAUGGGUAUGGACAAAACCUACUUCCACCCAAGAUACUGGAUAUCUAAUCAGUCACCUACUCUGGCAGAGAUUGUUGAGAACUACCCUCGUUUCAUUGAUGUACCAUAUCUGAUCGACAGUUUGAGAAGAUGUUUCCAAACAAGACAGACAUCUUUCUACGCAAAUGGGACCAAAGUUGUUGAAGCUGGCUGCUCUUGAAGGAAAAGAUGAACCACCAGAAGCUGAGAGUGCUGAAUCAAGGUGCUGUAGAGCACUGAAGAUGCUCACACAUGAUCUGCCCCCUACUGUGUCAAGAUCUAUGGGAUGGACAAAAUGCAGCAUCAAAUCAGUGCUGUCCUACAUUGAACAACCAGGAAGAAGCUUCCAUGACCUCCUACAAACCACUGACCCUGCAGGCUCCAGUGAUGCAACCUGGUCUGGUGCAUGUCUUUGGAGGUGGGAGGAAGUCGGAAUAGAACCCACACAGUCACAGGGAGAACAUGCAAACUCCACACAGAAAGAUCCAGAGCGCAGGAUCGAACCCAGGACCUUCGUAUUGUGAGGCAGACGCACUAACCCCUCUUCCACCGUGCUGUUCCUCAGUCACUGUUGGUAAAUUGCAGCUCCUCUUCAGUGGAUCUUUCUGAUCGCCUAAAAAAAAAAGAUCAAAAAAGCUCUUGAACUUGAGGUUUAAGCGCGUUUGCCCUAAUAACAGGCCUCACUUAUAUUAUCCUGGCCGACCUUCGGUGGGUACUCCAGAUUGUUCCAAAACAGCAAAUGAGGAAAACAUGAAGGAUUAGAGAGAUGUUGUAAUUGUAUGUCACAUUUUCCCACACCCCUAAUAUAUAUAUAUAUAUAUAUAUAUAAAAUUUAAAAAAUGCUAGAAAAAUAAUCUGUGAUUAAUCAGGAUUAAUCACAGAUCUAGAGUGUGAUUAAUCUGAUUAAAACAAAUUAAUCACUUGACAGCCCUUAGAUAUACGGUGUAAAUGUUAAUUUUUGUAUAUGUAUAUAUACAUAUACAGUAUGUACAGUACAUAUAUGUAGCUGAGUGGUUAACACUGGCAACUGUGCACCAAGGGGUACUGGGUACAAAUGCCGGUCAGGUUACAAGACUCCAGCCAAAAGAGUCAGUGUUUUUUUACACGUCCAUUUGUAGUUAACUGAGACAGGUUCUCAUUUAAAUAUGUCAUUGGGGCACGACAAAGGGUAGCUGAGUGGUUAAAGCAGCUAGCUUCCAAUCAAAGAGGACUGGGUUCAAAUCCCAGUCAUGGCCGAGCAGUGACUGGGUAAACUCCGGCUGGAGGAGUUACUUUUUUGUAUCAUAGUUUACUGAGACAGUUUCUCAAUUAAAUAUGUCAUUGGGGCCCGAAGUCUUGGCUCCAGCAGACCAAUGAUAGUUGAGUGGUUAAGGCAGCUAGCUGUCACUUAAAGGGGAUUGGUUUCAAAUCCACGUCAUGUCGUGCAGUGACUAGGAAAGCUCCAACUGGAAGAGUUGCUGUUUUAUAUCCUAGUUUAAUAGGACAGGUUAUGUCAUUGGGGCCUGAAAACUGUGAAAUGGCAGACAAAAGAUAGCCGAGUGGUUAUAGCAGCUAGCUCCCAAUCAAAGGGUACUAGGUUCAAAUCCAAGUCAUGGUCCAGCAGUGACUAGGAAGGCUCCAGCUGGGGAGUUAUUGUUUUAUAUCAUAAUUUUCUGAGACAGCUUCUCAAAUAAAUAUGUCAUUGGGGCCUGAAAUCUUGCCUCAAGAAUAAUUUGUUUCAACUAUUAAAUGAACCAAAAUAUGACUUAUUUUAUCUUUGUGAAAAUAUUGGACACAGUGUGUUGUCAAGCUUAUGAGAUGCGAUGCAAGUGUAUGGUGCAUGUUUGUGUGUCCUCAAUUGCUCUGUUUAUUGUUUUUCUUAGUGUUGCUGGGGCUUUGGAAUUGGAUUGCAUUGUUGUGUAUUGUUUUGUUGAUUGAUUAAUAAAUUCAUUAAAAAAUGUUUAAAAAAAAAUAAAAAUAAAUCAAAUGUUAACAAUCAAAUGUAGAUACUUUUUCUUAUGCUUUCUUUUACACCUGUUGGGAGUGCAUUCCACAUUGAUGUGGCAUAGAAAGAGAAUGAGUUAAGACCUUUGUUAGAUCGGAAUCUGGGUUUAACGUGGUUAGUGGAGCUCCCCCUGGUGUUGUGGUUAUGGCGGUCAUUUACGUUAUGGAAGUAGUUUGACAUGUACUUCGGUAUCAGGGAGGUGUAGUGGAUUUUAUAGACUAGGCUCAGUGCAAGUUGUUUAACUCUGUCCUCCACCUUGAGCCAGCCCACUUUGCAGAAGUGGG